CACAGGGUGCUAUGGAAACGCAGAGGGAGGGCACCUAACCUGGAUGGGACAGGCUUGAGAGGAGGAGUGUUCCAGAAAGACUUCCUGGCAGAGGUGGUAUCUGACCUGGGUUAGCCUGUGAGCUGCAAUGGAGGAAUUACGGAGCCAAUGCCUUUUCCUACGAAUUCCGUGGAUUUCCCUCCAUCCCACUUUGGAACUUACCACUCAAAACCAUGGGGUGCAUGAAGGGAUGGAUUUCACUGAGAUUCACCUGUUACACACCAGGUCCUGCACUCACAUUCUGGGAAACAGUGGCGGACGCGGCAGUCUCCAGCUCUCGAGCAGCCUACAGUCUAGAGGACCUGGUCCGGUUAUAACCCCAACGGAAAGAGGAUAGUGUUACAAAAACAAUUUUCCUGUGUUUGUGUCAUAGAUGCCUUUAAGAAAACAAUGGAAACUGAAAACCCUGGCCCCAGAAGAAGCAAAUAGAUAGACAAACACAAGAAUGUCUAGAGGUGACAGAGAGGCUCAGGGGAAGAUCAAGUUUAAGUGCUAGGCAGAGGCAGUAAGGUUCAAAGACAGGUUGGAUGGUGGGCAUGAAAAUGCUGUGCUAAGGGAUGUCUGAAUGAAGGCCAGAGUGGUCACAGCUUAGGGGAUGGGAUAAGAUGGAGUUAGAGAGAUGGGCAAAGACCUUGUGCCCCAGGGCAAGAAGUUAGGAUUUACCUCAAGCAUAAAAAACAAGCCAUUUUCUCCUUCCUUCCUUCCUUCCUUCCUUCCUUCCUUCCUUCCUUCCUUCCUUCCUUCCUUCCUUCCUUCCUUCCUUCCUUUUUCAUUCUUUCUUCUCUCUCUCUCUCUUUCUUUCCUUCGUCUCCUUUUGUCACCAGGCUGGUGUGGAAUGGUGUGAUCUCAGUUCACUGCAACCUCCACCUCCUGGGUUCAAGUGAUUCUCUUGCCUCAGCCUCCCGAGUAGCUGGGACAAGUGUGCAACACCACAUCCAGCUAAUUUUUGUAUUUGUAGUAGAGACAGGGUUUUACCCUAUUAGUCAGGCUGGCCUUGAACUCCUGAUUUCAAGUGAUCCACCUGCCUUGGCCUCCCAAAGUGUUGGGAUUACAGGCAUGAGCCACCUUACCUGGCCAUUUCUCUUUUCUAAGUUUAGAAUUUUAAAUUUGCACAAAUGGAAGCAGUGUGCACCUUCUUUUGAUGUCUCACCUCUUCUGACAAUGUUUUAUAGGUACAACUUUAGUUAAUUUCUUUUUACUUACUAUAUAGAAUUAUAUGGCACACACACAUAUUUUAUUCAUCCAUUCUCAUAUUGGUAGAUACUUAGGUCAUACCGUGUUUUUUAUUAUUACAACUGAUUCUGAAGUGGAAAAUUAAUAGGUUGCAGGGUGUGCCUAUUUUCAGCAUUAUAAGUUGUCACUUGGUUCUUCAAAGUUGUCAUGCUACUUUAUAUUCCCAAUGGCAGCACCCAAACAUCCCAUUUCUUUAUAUCCUUGCCAACAACUGGUAGAGUCAGCCUUUAAAGUUUUUGACUGUGUUUUGGAUACAAAAUGGUAACUCGUUUUUAUUUGUAUUUCCCUGAUUACCAGCGAGGUUAAACAUGUAAUUUUCCAUUUAUUGGCUUUUCUCUUGUGAAUUGUCUUGGAAUUUCUUCUCUUGUGAAUACAGUCCGUAUCCCUCGCCCAGUUUUCUAAAAGGUUGUUUUUUUCUAACUGAGUGGUGGGAGUUGUUUAUAUAUCGAAUUACUAAUCCAUUGUCUUUCAUAAAUGCUCUAAAUAGCCCACGCUCUUUACUGGAAGGUUUUAAGGAGAGGAGUGAUACUUGAUUUACAUGGUUAAAACAUCAAUCUGGCUAUGAUAUGAAGAGUUGAAGGGCGAGGUGGGCGUGAAUGGAAGAGGGGAAACCAGUUUGGAGGUCAUGAUAGUGGUCCAGGCAGCGAUGAUGGUGGUUUGGACUAGGGUGAUAGGAGCGGAAGUAGAGAAAAGUGGCAGUUCCAGGGUCCGCGUUGGAGCCAGAGCUGUCAGCACUUGCUGAUGAGAAGAGGGUGAGGAGAAGAGAUAGGAAUCAGGAUGACUCUUGGUUUUUGGCCUGAACAACUGGGUGGAUGUGGUACCACUGACUGGGAUGGAGAAUGACAAGUGGAGAAACAGGUUGAGGCUGGCAAUGGAGGAAUCAAUAGUUAUGUUUUGAAUACAUUAAGCUUGAGACAGCUUGUUGAUAACCCAGUAGUUAUGUCAAGUAGGCAGUUGGAUAUAUGAGUCUGGAGUUCAGGGCCCCAGCCACGGCUAUGGAUAAACAUCUGGGAGUCAUCGAUAUGUGGAUGGAAUUUAAACCGUGAGUCUGGAUAAGAUGGAAAAGGUAUGGGGUUCUCAGUUGAGCCUCAGUACAUGACAGUAUUUUGGGGCCGAGCAGAAGUGGAGAAUCAAUAAGGAAGACUUGGCCCAGAAAGUCACUCUAUGAGGGCAGGAGUUUUGCUCCUGCAUAAGGCUUGGCACACAGAAGGCUCCUAGUACAUACUUGCAGAAAGAACACAUGAAAAAACAAAUACAUGAAAGAAGAGACUGAGAAGUGGCUAGUGAGGCAGGAGGAGGAGCAUAAGGCACCAUGGAAGCCAAGAGAAAGAGAAAGCUUUGAAGAGGGUGGGAAUGGUCAAUUAUGUUGAAUGUUGUCAAGAGCUGGACAGAGAAGUAACCCCUGGAUCUGGCAACACAGAGGCCACUGGUGACCUUGACAGGGCCAGCUGGGGCUGGAUGGAUGAAGAAUUUGCCAGGUCC